ACUCCUACGGGAGGCAGCAGUGGGGAAUAUUGCACAAUGGGCGCAAGCCUGAUGCAGCCAUGCCGCGUGAGUGAAGAAGGGUUUCGGCUCGUAAAGCUCUGUUGUUAAAGAAGAACACGUAUGAGAGUAACUGUUCAUACGUUGACGGUAUUUAACCAGAAAGUCACGGCUAACUACGUGCCAGCAGCCGCGGUAAUACGUAGGUGGCAAGCGUUAUCCGGAUUUAUUGGGGCGUAAAGAGAGUGCAGGCGGUUUUCUAAGUCUGAUGUGAAAGCCUUCGGCUUAACCGGAGAAGUGCAUCGGAAACUGGAUAACUUGAGUGCAGAAGAGGGUAGUGGAACUCCAUGUGUAGCGGUGGAAUGCGUAGAUAUAUGGAAGAACACCAGUGGCGAAGGCGGCUACCUGGUCUGCAACUGACGCUGAGACUCGAAAGCAUGGGUAGCGAACAGGAUUAGAUACCCUGGUAGGAUAGCG
rnacentral:rRNA from 1 species